UCAUUUGAAUUUACGCUUUGCUGUGAAAAUAUAAGAAAUAAGUGAAGAAAGAAUAUUGAUAUAUAAGAAUUAAAAAGAAUAAUAGUAGUAUGAAGUAACUUAUGUAUAUCAUCAAAGCUUUUAAUUGAAUACAUAUAUCAAUUUGGUUUCAUGAAUAAAACAAGAAGAAUAAAAGAUGAAUAAAAGAAGAUUUAUUUAUAUCUAUCUUUGUUUUUAACUUUUGGAUUUUAUAUUCUUGUGGAUUAUAGAAGAACAUAAUCUUAAAAGAGGUCAUUUCUUUAUGAUAUUAAAUGUUUUUUUCAAUAAUUUUCUUAAUUCUAAAGGAUUCAAAUAUAAAAUAUAAAAUGAAUCACUUUAUGAUCUGAAUAGUGGAUAUCAAUGAUAUAUAAUAAUUUAAUUGUUAAUAAAUAAAUGAUUGAAAUGAAUUUGUAAUAAAAUUAAGUAAAACUGGUAUAAAAAAAACUUACCUGAUACUCUAAUUUCAAGAUAUAUAUGCAAGAAAAUGUAAAAAUCUAAAAAAUUGGUUUAAAUUGAUAUGAAAAUUGCUUGAAGUUGUAGUUUCAAGAUGUGAAGAAAUUCCAAAAUUUCAACUAGAAAAUGAAUAAUUAAUUAAUUUUUAAUAUGAUGUAUUUAAUUUAUCACAAUUAGUGAACAGGUAUAGAUUUCAAGUUAUAAUUGACUAUAAUAUAAAAGUGAAACUUGUCUAAUUCUAAUAUCAUGAUAAUAUAUAUCACAAUCGUUAAUAAAUCAUUAAUGAAAAGAAAUAUAACAUUAAAAUUUAUACAAGAAGCUUGUCUGAAGUUCCAAUUUUAACAUAUGAUCCUGAAAGUGCCAAAAAAAAUUGUGUAAAAACGAUUAAAUGUAAAAAUAAUUAACGAAAUUUCUAUAUGGUAUCUUCAAUGUAUUGGAAAAUGUUUUCUAUCCUUCUCGCACAAUAUUGCUUUCCUUGUCUUUGAGUUCGCAUACCUCCUUGCAUAUUAUGUUAUGCUAUUAACAAGUCGGAGCUUCGGUGAUCCAAACGCGAGAUGGCGUUGAUCAAAAUUUUUUAAUCGUGACCUAACUUAUCGGCUAAAUGUAUUUUAUAAUAGAAAUAUAAAUAUAAUUAAAAAUACACGAAUGAUCCUAUGUUAAAAAUUACGGAUUAAUGUUCAAUUUUAUUUUCUGUAUACUUUUUGCACGUUUAAAUAUGAAAAUAAAAAUUUCUAAAUUUUAUCUCA